GGGGAGAGAGGGAGAGAGAGAGAGAGAGAGAGAGAGAGAAUCUGAAGCAGACUCCACGCCAUCAGUACAGAGCCCCAUGUAAGACUCGAACCCAUGAACCACAAGAUCAUGACCUGAGCCGAAGUCAGACACUCAACCAACUGAGCCACCCAGGUGCUCCCUGACUCUUACAUUUUUAGAUUACACUCUUUCUAAAAAGUUUUUUCCUCUGAUGUUCCAAAAGUACCACAUGCUCAUUGUAGGCAAUUUGAUCAGUAUCAAAAAACUAUAAUGAAUAAGAAAUAAGGGGAGAAUAUCCUUUUUAAGAACAUGGAGACAGGAUUGGAAAGCUGAUCCAGGGAUUGCAGGUGUGGGAAUGAGAAAGUCUAUUUAGCCAGCAAACCCUGAAUUAGAUUCUUCAGGCUGGAUUCAAGUAAUUCUUCUACCCUUAUGGACUAUAUGGCAUUGACUGUAUAUACCAUUGACCCUUGAAUAAUACAAGGAUUGGGGUGCCAAGUCUCAUUGAAGUACAAUAUUCAUGUAUAACUUUUGAGUCCCCCAGAACUUUAGUACUCAAGUAAUAGUCUACUAUUAACCAGAAGCCUUAGUGAUAACAUAAAGUCAAUUAACACAUCUUUGUAUGUUUUGUGUAUCAUAUAUUAUUAUAGUAAACUAGAGGAAAGCAAAUGUUACUGAGAAAAUCAUAAGGAAAAUACAUUUACAGUACUGUACUGUAAAAUUCUGCAUAUAAGUGGACCUGUGUUGUUUAAGGGUCAAACUUGUUUUGUUCAAAGGUCAACUAUAUAUAGAUAUCACUGAGUCAUUAAACCCAUGAUUUUGCUGAUAUUUUGUAAAGGACAGGGGUUGAAUGAGUAGAUUAACUCAGUAGUGCUCAGGUUGACAAAAAUCAUGGAAGGUGGUAGCUGAAUGAUUGGGGUUUGAAAGCCUGCUACAGAAUGUAGACCUUUGGCAACAAAGGCACAGGGAGAGUGCCACGUGAGGACGGAGGACUGGAGAGAUGCAUCCAUAAACCAAGGAACUCCUGAGGCCACCAGAAGCAGGGUAGAAGCCUGGAACAGGUCCUUCCCAGUGCCUUCAUGGGGGAGUAUAGCCUACUGACUUCUUGACUUGAGACUCUGGCUUUCAGAACUGGGAGAUAAUAAAUUUCUGCUGUUUUUAGCCACCUGGUAUGUGGUACUUCAUUAUGGCAGCCCUAGGAAACUAAUGUACCCAUUAUCCUCAGCAGUGUCUCAAGACUUCAAGAAGGUCUUCACAGCCAGAGUCUGGAGAAUCCUGCAUUGGCCUUUUCCCAGCCCUACUCCUAAAGGCCGCUCCCUGUGACUAACUAGCAUGUGCUUGGGCAUUUUUGAUUGGAACUGACUUAGUUGAACUUGCGUGAUCGCUCCUACCCAGCUGAGAGCUCAGAAUCCCCAAGAAACAGGAGAUGGUAGAUGCAUUUCAUAGAAGAGUUGGGAGGAAGAAAAAUCCGGGUCAUGGGUGUGGGGAAACUGUGGAAGGGGGACAUAACUGCAGACAGAGGGACGGGAACAAAGGGACUCCCCUUAUUUCUUUGCUGGUGAAGGCUUGAGGUGUUCUACCCCUGCCUCGACCCUGGUAUCAGUCCUCACGGCAGUAUUUGGGGAGACAGGGAUAAGAGAGCUGCGUGCUUGUCCUGGCACAGCCAUGAACUUUGUGUCCUCAGACUAUUCACUUAGUCUCAGGGAUUAGUUCCACCCUUAUAAUUCUGGGAAGACCUAGCUGUUUGAUUCCAAAUGGAGAAAUAGAAAAUUCUAGGAUGAGCUCACCUAUAAGAACAGCAGUGAUUAAUUGCCUGCCUCGUUCUGGUUCAUUUCCAGCACUGUUAUUUAUGUUGUUCCUCUUAAUUUGUUCCUGCUGUUUCAGCUUUACAAGGGGUAUCCAAUUACUUCCUCUGUGACAUUUUUUUUUUUUAAACUUUUGAGUGCCAGAAAUCUCACCUCAGAAGGGGUUUCUUUUUCUGGUAAAAAUCUCUUGAAUCGGUCCCUUUCUUUCUGUGAGGGCUGCUCCUGCCCAGGUCCAGGGCCUCUGCAUCUCAGGUCUGGGUUCUUACAGGUGUCAUCCCUAAAAGGAGCCUUCCUGCUUCCCAGGUGGCCCAUUCGCUAUAUUGUGCCAGCCAGAAUCUGGGGCUCAUCCCUGGCUCGCUCUUUCCCCUCACCCCACUCCAAUUAGUUACCGCUAAGACCUCACUAUUCUACUUCCUUGAUAUCUGUCAGAUCCACCCUUUUCUCUCCACCCUCACCUCUGUCACACUGCUCAGCAGAACUACUGAUAUCCAAAUGGGGUUCCUGCAUUAUACACACCUUUCCAGCCGGCAUGCACUGUCCCUAGAAUGUGCUUGCUUAUGGGCAGCUCACCUGUAUCAAAGCUUGUAAUAAAGGGCCCUACAAAUCCAGAAUAGAGUCUCAACUCUUCAGUGGGGCGUAUGAGGCCUUUUAGAGUAGCUCCUACUUGCCUCUCAAAGUCAUGUCCCUCCCACUCAUGCUCUUUUGGGUUCUCCAUAAAGCACGUGCAGCUCCUAGAACAGGCAACACUUUUCUUUCCCACCUCUGGCUCUUCCUUCUACCUGGAACACCUUUAUCUUUGAUCCUCACCUUCACUCCAUUCCUCGUUCAGGACUCAACUCACUGGACUUUUCUGGAAUGGAGGAGUCACUCCACCUUCUAUGUCCCUCACAUGGUCUGUUCUCCGUCCCAUUUCUGCCAUGCCACACUGCAAGUCCCAUGGGACAGAGGAGGGAUUUGCUCACUGCUGUAUCCACAUGGAAGCCUCUCAAAAUUCAUCAGAUGACUUGUUGAAUGAAUGGAUAUUUAAAUUCAUGCAUAUAAAUGUGAAUGAUUGAAUGAGUGGAGACGUUUGCAUAGCAUCAUGACGGAACCUUGUCUCUGCAUUCGUGUAAGCUGUGCUUGCUGCUCAGACCAAUAGGAAAUCUACUCUGAUGCCAGAGUCAACCCAUAGCAGGAUAAUUCAGGAAAAUUGAAUUAAAAUUUUAAAAGUAAUGUUUUUUAGAUUUUCCUUCUUGGAAUGCAUUAGAAAGUGAGACCGGAGACCAACGCCAUCCUGGGAUGGCUUAGCAUCACCCUGGAGGUUGGGGGGAGAGCCUGGAAAUGACUAGAUUUCCCUCAAACUCUUUGAAUCUGGUCUCAGGUUUAUUCUGGGAGCCUUUCCCACUACCCGACCAAGAAGCGAUUUACUGAACAAUGACCUCAUUUUACAUUUCACAAUAUGUGUGUCAUAUAAGCAGUCUGUGCUGCUGAAUGGUUUCCUGUAAACAUUUACAAUGGUUUGAGACACUGGGGCCAGUCCCCAAUAGUUCUGGGAAAGACUUUUUAGAAAACAAGAAGGAACCUCUGCCCCAACUGUACAUUGGACACUGCAGAGUAAUUAUACAGUAGAGGUCAGGCCCAGGGUGAUAAUUAGCCUUGGGGGUGCCAGAGGGCCUCCUCGCUUUUGCUCUCCCAGCAAUUUUCUGGGAGGAGACAGAGCUGAGUUUCAGCAGGAUGGAGGCCGCUGGGUGUGAAACGCCCUCCACUUCACACCGGGGGCCCAUGUGCCACAUGGACUAGACCUUGCUCCCAAAGCGUGGUCUCAGGAUCUACAGCAUCAGCAUCACCUGGGAGCUUACUGGAAGUGUAGGAUCUCAGGAACCACUCAGAGCUGCCAGUCAGAAUCUGCGUGUUAACAUCCUGGCGACUCAAAAGCAUGUUACAUUUUAGGAAGUCAUGAACUAGAACUCAGGUGUCAGGACCUCACUUGAGAGGCAGCAGGGAAGCACCUGUGAGGCUGGCUCAGCCACUCAGUAAAACUCAGAACUAUAAACAUCCUGCCACUUCCAGGCAAACAUGGCUCCCGGCAGCUGUUGUCCAAAUACAACAUGAGCCAGAUGCCAUUCCAGAUCCCUAAUCCAGCUUUCAUCAGACCUAAUUCCCUACCACCUCUCAUGAGAGGGACCAGAGAGACUUGGAUGACAUUAGGAUUGCAUAACUACACUUCUCAUGAAGUUUCUUCCACCUUAAGGCUUCGUUCAGCAUUUUGGCAUCCUGAUCCACAUCAAAACCUUGAUGACUUCUUGCUUUGGCCUGGAGAAAAUAAUUGAAAAGGUACAUGCGGAAAUCAGCUUGGGAAACUCUGGCCCCAGAGAGACGACUGGUACUCCUUGGAGCCAGCUGGCCUUGGAUGACCACUGAGAAUGGGCCUCUCUGUUCAUAAGGACAAUCAGCCUGGCCAUCUCUGGGUUGAGACAUUUUGACAUCAAGCCUACCUUUGUGUGACUGCCUCUGAAACAGAGAAUAAUACAGUGGGCCAAUGUCCUGGAAUGCUGGUUCUACCCUCUUGUCAUGAGACACAAGUGUGUCUAGGGAGUAAGUGUUGCCAGGCAGAAGCUGAGGGUUCUAAGAUUUUAUGACAGAUCCAUCCAUUUGGUGACCUGGGCUAAAGCUUUGCCAUCCACACAACGAGAGACAUAACAUUUAGUUUGCCAGAGACACCUACCGACCAGAAGUAGCAGAGUUACUGGUUUUUACUGUUCCUCGGGGAGAGAAAGUUCUGUUCGUAUACUAAGUUAGGGUUUCUCCUUUUACUUCAGUCAUUGGUAUAAUAGAUGCACUAAUUUGUCCACAGCUACCUAAGUCUAUGUUAUUAUUAUCUGCUUACAAUUUUUCUUUCAGCUGACUUAGCUGGGUUUUACUUAAAGUUAUUUUUAAAAGGAAAUUUUCUAUUAGCACUAAAAUGGAAAAACAAUAUUGGUUGCCUAAACAAAAGCAACAUAAAAAUAAAUGCAUCACUAUUAAAAAUUUAAAGAUGUGAGGUUAAUUGCAGUGACACAACUAUUAGCUUUGAACCUACCCUGUGUUUUUGCAAUUCUUUGCCUCUCCUCACAGAGAUUAUCUUUGAUGACACGUGUCACUUAUUUCCCACCCUUCAAUGAAGGAGUGAUCAUGCUACUGUCUACACCACCUACCCAAUUCCCCUCUCCCACCUUUCGUUUUCCUUGGCCCCCAUUGGGAAGGCAUAAUAAACCACAUAAAGCACAGUAGACAUAUUGCACUUAUUUGUCUGGCAUUGCUAUUCCUUUGGUGGGGGGCUUCCCUUUCCCCCAUUUUAUGUGUUUUCAUGGGGGCUGUCAGUCAUGAGGCUUGAGCCCCCUUGUCCCACCCUUGGGUGGGCACAAACCCUGCCACUCUGGCAACUGUGACUGGUUCAGGAGUAGGAGUAUAAUCCAAGCAGUAUCAGAGUCUUUUCUUUGGUUGAUAUAGAAAGAGAUGUCUUCUGACUGGGCUUGUUCAGCUGAAAGAGUGAGUCUAGGCCUGCUGGUUGCCAUUUUAUCCUCUGCAUGAAGGGACAUGAGUUCAGAGUGAAGCAAGGCAGAGACAAAAAGAGUGGAAAUAUGGAGAGAGAAAGAGAGACUGAAUACCACUGUAUAAAUCCUCGGACGCAGCAAUGCCUGUUUCCUAGCUCUUCCCAUUUUCAUUAAUAAACUACGACUUUCUCGAAGUUAGUAAGUUGGGUUUCUGCCCUUGCAACCAAAAGUGUUCUGAGUAAUAUCCACAGAAUAGAGGAGGGCUGACUUCUAGGCCUUUCUUAAUAGAGAUUCAUGUAAUCCUAGAGCCAAAGGGAUCUUCUAGGGCCGCCAGUCAUCUCUCUGCCUUAUGGGAUCCCUCCAUUACACAGCCCAUCUUGAAGUAUCUCUUUCUGAAGCAUGCUGGGAAGGGGACUUACAUCUCUUGAGCACCUGCCACAUGCCAGACAAUUUCUUCGUUUACAGACCUUUCUUCAUUAUUAACCCAGAAGAGUAGCCAUUAGGAGUCUAAACUUACAGAGAAGGACAUCAGGCAGGUUAAGUAAGGAAGGCGUCUGAACACUUGCGGAUAUAGGCAAGCCCAGCAUGGUUUGCCUCCUAAAGCCCAUGCUCUCAGUCCCAUGCACCAUCCUGCCUCGUGCUCUAAGUAGGAUGGGGGCCUUUAUGUUCAGCAUUUUUUUCUUUCCAAAUCUCUUGUGUGGUGUGAGAAAGCUAUCUGGUGCCGCUGAAGGCUUGCUGGCAGGACCAUCGACAGAAUUUUCAGGGCUCAAUGCAAAAUAAAAAUGUAGGGUCCUUGUUCCAAAUGGAUUUAGAACUUCAAGAUGGUGACAUCAGAGCGUUAAAGAAAGCUCGAGGCCUUUCUGAGUGCUGGGUCUGUGCACCUGCACAGGCUGACACUAUGGAGCCCGUCCUGCCUGUUGAUCAAGUUCUCUGAGUGUGGGAGAGUGGCAAAUGGCAAUCUCAGAAGAGUGAAUGGUGUCUUUGCUUUUCAUUAGAAGGAUUUUGUGGAAGGUUCGGGGAGUGAGGUGCCAUUGAACCAGAGCAGCACACAUCUCCUCUUAAUAAGCUGUUCAUAAACCGUUCUGAUGUCAUUUGAGCCUCAUCAGGGCAAAGAAUCUGGUGGGACACUUAUAUUUGCCCCACCUCACAUAAAUUGAAACAGAGGCACAGGGCUCUGUGAAUAGCUAGGGAGGUUGUGCCCUGGCUGAGGGGCAGGGGGGCUGGAGUCCAGCUGGGAUUACAUUUGCUAAGCCAGCAGGGCUGCUUCUCCCCCAGAGAGACACAUUUUUUCCUCAGUUGCACAGAGAUGCAGCCAGGACUUGCAGAAGCCCUGUGGAGACUUGCUUAAGAUCCCCUGGCCAGGUGAUGGCUGCGGGGGAGCCAGGGGUAGACUCGUUCUGUCAAGUAUGAAGAGACACUUCCGUCCUUCGUCCCCUUACUAUUUUAGUGAGGUGGGUCCUUGAUACAAAAAUAGAGUUAAAGGAGCCAAAAAUAAAGGGGGGGGGACCCUCUGAACAUAUCUAGUUUAUCCAAGGCCAAAAGAUGAAGUGUCAUUUAGU